ensembl:lncRNA
GGGAGAGGGGAGGGAGGAAGACAAGGAGCAAGGGACAGAGGAAGGAGAAAGAAAAAAGAAAGGUCUCAUCUUCAAUAAACUUAUUUAGAAUGUUGCAAUCAGAAAGUGUAAAGGGAGGCUCUCGACCCUGGGACCCUCAUUCACGUACAUGGAGAAUAACCCUGGGCUCUGAACGACCCUCAGAAGUCUGACAAACAGUCUUUUCUGGCUAAGUCUUACUCCAACCCUGGGCUUUCACUGCCUGCAAGUGAAAAACCUCUGCUCACCUCCCCCUGCUCCAUGAGCUUCCCGUGGCUACAGGACGGAAGCUUCCGGAAGGCGGUGCCGUGCCCUCUUGCCUAGCUCCAUGAGCGUUUGCAGAAUGAUCCUCAUGAGGAAAGCUCACGGUCCCUGGCACCCUCCCGGCGCUCCACCCUCUCCCUGCCUGCCUGGUGCUGGGCAGGGCUCCUGUCUGCCACGCACAAUGGGAGGCCACCCAUACUGCAGGAGCCCUGUUUUCCUGGCAUACGCAUGAAGACAGAAUGAAGCCCGGAGAUUCAGAGCCCCGCAGCUGCCAUCUGGACAUGGCCACUGGGGUGGAGACAGGGACAGCCACGGGGCAAGCUCAGUGCAGGUGGAGGAAAGCAGGACCAGGAGGCCAGGGCUGGGGCCGACCCUCGCUAUGCUCGGCCUGGCCUUGCAGCUGUGUUGUGGACAGUCCUGUGCCACCUUCCCUGGGAAGCGCUGUGCAGUUUGUGAACAGAAGUCUGUGAGGCACCACGCUGUGCCUGGUGUGAUGGCCCGGCCAUCCAAGCCCCGGGGCCUCCCCAUUUCAAGCCACGGCCUCUGUGGCCACCACCAGAAGAAAGGAGAGAACAGAGGGCUAGACACCAGCACUCACAGGCUGUGGCCUAGAGUGACACGCGUCACCUCCAUCACAGCCCAGUGGUCAGGGCCACGGAGGUCCAGGUGGCUGCCGCUGUCCUGGGGAAGAGCAGACAGAGGACAGGGGAAGCCACAGAGCUCGGGCCUGGACACCGGCAUGGAGCCUGAGCUGCGCUGUGCAUUCUGUGUGACCUGGGAGUGUGGCUGAGGUGUCCCGCAUCGUGCUGUCCUAUGCCGCAGUCUGAGGGUGAGGAAGGGGCUCUACCUACUUUGCUGCAGGGCAGAGAAACCGAUUCAUGGUUACAGAGCCUGCUUCAUGACGUCUGGCCCAUGGCAAGAAUUUGAUAAACGGCCCCUCUUCAGUUGCACCAGGCAUGCAGCUUCCUUGGGAGGGUUAGCCCAGUCUCCGCGCCCCUCUGAAGCACCCUGUCACCCAGCCCUGCAUGUGAGCGUCUCACCCUAACAGGGCUCGAGCACCGGAGAGCAUUCUGGCCCUCAGGUGGAGGAUCCCGAAGGUCGGUGAGCAAGCGAUGACUCGGCCCCAGGCAUGGCCCUGUUCACAUUCAUCCAGAGCUGGAAAAGUCCACCUGGCUGCUGGGUUCCCUGCAAGGCCCCUCAGAGUGUGAGGUCACAGUGGCGGGAGAGCCCAGCAGAGCCAGAGGUGGAGGCAGCAACCCAAGCCCCGUGCCCGGCGUCACACUGUCCUCAGAAGCGGUUUCCAGGCUGGCACCUUCCAGGCCUCCUGGCCCCGAGGCAGGUCCUCAUCCUGUGUCCCUCCCGGGCCAAAGUUUGGGGACUUGGCCAUGCCUUCCGGGGGCGUCUGCCCUCUGGCUACUCAGGAGCCGGAGAGGAUGGUGAGAAGCCCAGUUCACUGAUGGCCCUGGGAGUGGACAGCACCCACGUGGGCACCAGGUGAGCAGGGGCAAGUCACACAGCAUGCUGAGGGCCUCUGGCGCGGUCAGCACGCUUCCUCCAGAGGCAGAGGGGAGCAAGCCCCGUGGGCACCACUAGUCGCCCUCCUGCCUGGCCGGGAGGCAGCUUCCUGCCUUCUGCUCUCUCUCCACCCAUGCUGCUCCAGCAAAAGGGAGGGGACCUGGGAUGGUGGCCGCACUGGCCUAGCUUCCCAGGACCCUGUCCUUAGAGCUGAGCUGCAGACUCAGCCCCACUGAGGGUGGGCUGGCUGGCCGGUAACUGGGUGAGGUGACACUGAGGCCCAGGGCUGUGGCACGGGAGGAGCUGAGCAUUCCCGGCCCCACCUCCCCCUGGAGAGGCCAGGACGCAUCCCUGGCACAGAGGCUGUGCCCAUCCCAGGCUGCCAGAGCAGCAGCCUCCACCCCAGGGUUCCGGGGACCAGAGCAGUGUGGAGGACACCCAGGGAAGGCGGCCCUGGGAGCACCCACUCAUGCCUCUCCCAGUCCAGACCUCCUAGACUGUCUGCAGUUGGCACUGCCCACCCCUGCCCUCACGCCUGGGACAGCCUGUGGAUGGUCCCUUCUGUUACUCAGCUGUGCUGCCAACAAUGGAAGAAUGAAUGCUAAGUGAUGGGCUUUCUCUGCCCUACGAGGCUGCAGGCAACUGUGAAGAGACCUUGAGGCCAGAGGAGCCCACCUGAGCCUCCACCUGUGGCAAGCAGCCAGUGCCUGGCCUGGGCGAGGAGCGUGGGGUGGGCCGGGCAGGAAAAGCACGAGAGCUUGAGGGUGAAGAUUCAUGUUCGGUUUAGUCCUGUUUGUUGCAGGCUCACCAACUUACCAACAGUCCUAGACCGCUAGACUUCCUUGCUCUUCUCCUGUUAACAGCGUCCUCGAGCUGUAAUUCACAUACACGCGGCUCAGUCCUUCAGUGUUCAGUUCAGUGGUUUGCAGCAGAUACGCUGUGCAGCCUGCACAGUGGUCAGUGCUAGGUCAGCCGUAACUCCUCAGAAAGAAACCCCACUCCCUGGAGCAGCCGUCCUAUCCUUCCACCCCUGCCCCACCCCUAAGCAACCUCUAAUCUCCUCCCCUCUUUAUGGCAUUAGCUGCUCAAGACUUCAUGUAAGUGGCAUUACACAAUAUUUGUCUUUCUUGGCCUGGCUUCUUUCACUGAGCACGAUGAUUGCAUGGUGUGUCCAGGUUGCAGUGUAUCUGCAUUUAUUCCUUUUAUUGCUGAAUAAUGUUCCUUUGAACAGAUAACGCUGCUUUUGGUUGGCAUUCGCCCAUCCACUGAUGCACGUCUGGGUUGAUCCCCCUGGUUUGGCCGUAGGAAUGACACUGCUAUGAGCACCCAUGUGCAGUGCUCAUGCGUAAGUGUGUCUUUAAUUCUCCUCCAGGACUGUGCACCCACGGAUGGAUUUGCUGGGCUUUGUGGUCGCUCUGUGUGUAACACUUGAGAGCAAUCACUAGGUGCUCCCCAAGCAGUGCUCCGUUUCGCGCCUCAUCCUCAGUCUCCGUCUCCACAGUCCUCCCGUGCUGCCAAUGUCCGUGUGGGGUUUUUGUGGUCUCCGUGGGGAGGUGUAGAGCGGCACUUGGCAGUUUCCCUGGCUCCUCCCUGAGAGCUAACGCUGUGAACAUCUCCUCUGCCUGUAGGCCAUUUGUACCUCCUCUGGGAAAUGUCUAUUCAGAGCCUUUAUCAUUGUUACACUGGAUCGUUUGCCUUUUCACUGAGCUGAAAUAGUUCUCUACAUUUUCUAGACAACGGGCCCCAUGGACACAGAUUUGCAAUUUGCAAAUGUUUUCUCCCAUUCUGUGGGUUGCCUUUCACUUUCUGGAUGGUAUUCUUUGAAACACAAAAGCUUUUACUUAUUUAUGCAGUACAGGGAUUGAACUCAGGCAUGGCCUACCACUGAGGUAUAGCCUCAGACCAUUUUCAUUUUUUAUUUUGAGACAGGGUCUCAGUAAACUUACCCAGGCUGGGCUGGAUUUGUGAUCCUCCUGCCUCAGCUUCCCACACAGAGGGUAUUACAUGCAUGAGCCACCUUGUCUAGCUCAAAAUUUUUAAUUUUGAAGAAGUCCUACUUAGCUAUUUUCUCAAGGGCCUUGCUCUUGCGAGACAGGCGGUGGAAUCGCUGAGCUAGACCCCCGGCCCCUCCACUAUUUAUUUUUGUGUGUUGUUUGUAUCCUGCUUCCUUGCUGAAUUUGUUUACUAGUUCUGGGAGUCUUUUGGUGGCAUAUUUGGUUCUAUGUAGAGGGUCAUGUCAUCUGUGGAUAAGGAUAGUUAGACUUCUUCCUUUCUUAUAUGUAUUUCUUUUCUUUCACUUGCCUGAUUGCUUUGGUUAAAGUUUCAAGUAUAAUAUUGAAAAGGAGUGGUGAUAGUGGACAUCCUUGUCUGGUUCUUCACUUUAGAGGAAAAGCUUUAAAUUUUUCUCCACCUAAUGUAUUUGCAUAAUAUUUGUGGUUGCUUUUACCAUUUAUUUCUAGUUUCUUGGCACUAUGAUCUGAUAAUAUGCAUGGGAUAAUUUCAUUUCUUUUGAAUUUAUUUAAGCAUACUUGAUGGGCUGAUAUGUAGUCUAUUUCAGAGAAAAUUCCAUGUGCUGCCGAGAAGAAUGUGUAUUUUGUUGUUCUUGAGUAGAACAAUGUAUAGUUAUUUAUUAAGUUCAUUUGUCUGAAGGUAUGAUUCAACUUUAAUAAUUUUUUUUAAGACAGACUCUGGCUAUGUAGUUCAGGCUGGCCUCAAACUCACGGCGAUCUUCCUGCCUCAGCCUCCUAAGUUCUGGGAUUACAAACAUGUGCCAUCACGCCUGGCUUAACACUGAUAUUUCUUCAUAGAUUUUUUUGUCUAAUUGAUCAGUCAAUUUGAAAUAGUGGGGUAUUGUGCUCCCCCACUAUAAAUGUGUUGACAUUUAUCUGAUCUUUUAUGUUCAGUAGUAUUUGUUUUAUGAAGUUGAGUGUACUGGUGUUCAGUGUGUGUAUAUUUAUAAUUGUUAUCUCUUCCUAUUGAAUUGUUCCCUUAACCAAUAUGUAGUGUCCUUCUUUUUCUCUUUUGAAUAGCUUUGGCUGAAAGUUCACUUUGUCUGAAAGUAGGGUAGCUAUUCCAACUUGAUUUGGGGCUUCUAGUGCAAGGAAUAUUGUUUUUCAUCCAUGAAUUUCUUUUUGGAUUAAAUGUGUUUUUGUAGCUAGUGUCACAUUGGUAUUUUUUUGUUUGUUUGACCUUCUUUGUCUCUCUUAACCAGUCUUGGCUUGAAAGCCACUUUGUCUUUGUCUGCAAAUAGAAUAGGUAGUUCUGCUUUUCUCCUGUUUCCUGUCGCAUGGAGUAUCAUUUUCCAUCCUUUGACUUUCAGUCUAUGAAUUUCUUUUUGAAUUAAAUGUGUUUCUUGUGUGCAGCAUAUUGUUGGAUCUUGCUUCUUGAUCUGUUCUGCAAGCCUGUUUCUUCUAAUUGGUGAAUUGAGACCAUUUACAUUGAUGGUUAUAACUAAUAUGUAUUGACUUGUCCUCAUCAUUAUUUUCCUGUUGUUGGUUCCCUUCAUUUUUCCCCUCUGUUUACUUACUUGCCUUGCCAGUGGAUUCAUUUUGGUGGGGUUCAUGGAAUUGUAGUCCUCAUUAUCUGUUUCUAGAAUGUCCUUCAGAACCUUUUGGAGUGCUGGUUUUGUGGUCAUGAAUUUCUUCAGGUGUUGUUUGUCAUGGAAGUAUCUUAUUUCUCCAUCAAUUCUGAAAGAUAGCUCUGCAGAGUACAUCAAUAUGGGUUGAAGGUUGUUUUCUUUUAGUGCUUGAAAUACUUCACUCUAAGCUGUCCUUGACUUGAGCAUUUGUGUUGAGAAGUCUCCUGUGAUUCUGAUGGACUUUCCUUUAUAGGUGAUUUGUUUCUUUUCUCUAACACCUUUUAAUAUUCUGUUCUUGUGUUGAAUUUCAGGAAGCUUGAUUAUUAUAUGCCUUAGUGUGAUUUUUUGUUUGUUUAUUUUUGAGACAGGGUCUUGCUAUGUAGCCCAGGCUAGGCUUGAACUCAUUAUGUAUCUCAGGCUGGCCUCAAACUUGUGGCAAUUCUCCUGCCUCAGCUUCCCAGGUGUUGGGAUUAUAAGCCUGGGCCACCAUACCUGUCCAGAUUUUUUUAUCAUGGUUAAUUGGAGUUCUAUGUGCCUCACUUAUCUGUAUGUCAAAUCUUUUUCCAUGCUUAGGAAGUUUUCUGCCAUUACUUCUGUGAACAGGUUUUUUUAAUAUCAUUUGCUCUAUCUCCUGCUUUUUUAUUGACUCUUAUCAAUCUUAUGUUAUUCUUCUUCGCAUCAUCUAGCAGAUGUUGGAGUGAUUUAUCAUAGUCUCUUGCUAUUUUUAAGAAAUCUUUCUUUUCAUGAUCACUAACCACAAUCCUAUCUUCUAUAUCUGAUAUUCUGGCCUCACAUUGGUUCAUUCUGCUGUGUAUACUUUCAAUGAGAUUUUUAAUAUCUGGAUAUCUGUUUGAAUCUGAUUAAUGGAUUCCAUUUCUUUCCUAUGUUGAGCAUUCCAGUUUUCAUCAUUUUCCUAAGUGCCUCUUUUUUUUUUUUUUUUUUAAUCUGUAUCUGCUCUAGAGUCACUAACCAUGUCUUACAUUAUGGUCACCAUCUCUGUAGUUAUUUGAGAGAUUAUUUCUGAUUUGAUUUUUUUCUAGAGCCUCAUUCCUCUGCUUUGUUACUUCUGCUAUAACCACAUUAGAGAGUCCAGGGGGUUGGCUUUCAAAUUGUUCCAUCUCAUUGCCCCCUGGAUUUGCUUUUGGUGCACUGGAAGUCUUGAGUUGCAUCUUGCUUAAGUGUAUUCUCAUUGUCUUUUCUUUCUGUUUUUUAGUUUAAUUCCUGGGUUAAUGCUUAUAAAUUGCUCAUGGCAGGUAGCUGUAGUGCUAAUGUUUGGAACCCUUAGCAAAUAACUACUUCUCAGAGAUAUCUUCCAGGUGUAUCUGGCUUUUAGGUUUUGAGUCUGUUGCAACAUCCUACCUCUUCAACUUAUUGGGGAUGAGAAGUUGCUGUCUAUUUGGUCUGGCCUCUGGUUCUUUGGUACUAGCCUAUAGUAUUGUUUAUGACCCUUAGGUAAUCUCUGUCUUGGCAUACUAGGAAGAACAACUGAUUAGAACAAUUAUGCCACCUUGGCUAAAGUAGCACAAUCAGAAAUAACAAUAGCAUCGAACACAGCCUAGAAUAUGACAAAGUGUAGUAACCAUCAAUUUGCCAGCUUUAACCCUAUGAACUAUAUUUGUGGUUAUAUAACAAAAUCUAAAACAAACCAGGAAAUUGUAUACAGUAAAUAUGCCCUCGAUAUGGUGAUUUUACCCUCAGGGGAGACCCUCAGGGGAGAAAAUUUAAAAGGGAUGAGAGGGAAACAAAUAGAGAAAUAGAAGAAGAGGAAGAGAUUAGAAGAAAGGCUAAAGGACAAAGGAAGAUUGUGUGAGCUUUGGGAAACUGGUAAAGAAGAUGGGAGGAAAAGAGAGAAGAAAGAAAUAAAAGCAAGGACAGGAAAAAACUAGAAAUAAUGUUCACACUAAUAUAAAACAAGAAGAAACAAUCAAGAAAAACAGAAAAGAAAAGAAGAAAAAGUAUCCACUUCAGGGUGUGUCUCUGCUGUCACUGGUAGACAGAGUGGGCAGACAGAGGCCAGAUCCAUGUUGAUUAAUCCCAGCAAGCCAGCUGUAGCUCUAUGGCAGGGUUGUGGAUAUUUCCAGCAAUCCGGCACCUUUAGCUCUACUGAAGUUCAGGCUGAUUUCUGGCUGUGAGGCGAGAACUCAUUUUGUUCAGCCUGCAAUGCUCUGUGUGCCUCCUACAGGCUUGAACUUGGAUCCCUGCCAGCUUGAACUUUGUGGCUCCUUAACCUCCUGCCAACUUGAACUUGGUUGUGUCUCACCUUGACAAUGGGAGCCACUUUAUGGAGCCAGCCUGCAGCUGCUCUGAGUUCUGAGCUCAGUUGGCCCCUCUCCAAGAUGGCCACUGGCCAAUCACCCUCUCCUGGGGGACAUCUGAAUCCUCAUAACUCACUAGCCACUGCAGUCUGCUGUGUUCACUGCUCCAUUCCACUGGUACAUUCUCUGUGGAGAUCUCUGGGGUCACCGGUAGUCAUCGUAUGUCUACAGGGUUGAGCUGCCUCUCCCAUGCAGCAAGUCAGGGCUCAGGAAGAAAGCACUGCUUAUUACCUCUUUCUUCUGCAUUGAGGUCUCUCUCUUCAUUCUCCCCAUGUGCUUCAAUUCUCACUUCAGAUCCUUGCUGGGUUCUGGGGGCCCACUUAACUCCUCCUUCCUCACAUUGCUAUAUUUCAGGGUAUGAACUCUAAAUCUCAGAGAGGCUGAUUCUCUGCUGUUCACCAUUCCACUGACUUCCUGGAAGUCUCCUCCUAAAUUUUUUUUUUUUGGUACCAGGGAUCGAACUUGGGUCCUUGUGCUUGUGCAGCAGGUGGAAAAACCACUGAGCUAAAUCCCUGGCAAUAUUUUAUUAUUUUGAUGCUAUUAUCAAUGGGGCUGAGUGUGGUGGUACACACUUGUAAUUCCAGCAGUCAGGAGGCUGAAGCAGGAGGAAUGCUGAGUUUGGGCUAUAUAAUGAGUUGAAGACCAACCUGAACUACAUAGUGAGACCCUGUCUCAUUAAAAAAAAAGGGGGGGGGGGGGAAUCAUUUUCUUAAUUUUUUUAGAUUAUUUGUGGGAAGUAUAUAAAAGUAGAACUGAUUUUUUUAUCCUUAACCUUGCUGAACUUGCUUAUUAGUUACAAUAGUUUUUAAAUGGAUUCCAUCAUAUUUUCUAUAUAAAAGACCAUGCCGCCUGAGUUUAUAGAUAGUUUUACUUCUUCCUUACCAAUCUAAGUGCCUUGUAUUCCAUUUUCUUCCUCAAAAACCCUGACUAGAACCUCUGGUACCAUGAUACAUGGAAGUGGCAAGAGUGGAAUCCUUGUUUUAUUCCAGAAAUUAGGAGGAAAGUAUUCAGUUUUUCACCAUCAUGUAUGUUAGCAGUGGUUUCUUUUUUUUAAGAUGCCCUUUAUCAAAUAAAGAAGUUCUUGGGCCAGGGAUUUAGCUCAGUGGUUCUGUGCCUGCCUUGCAACUGCAAGGUCCUGAGUUUGAUCCCUGGUACCAAAAAUUUAAAAAUAAAAUAAAAUAAUAAAUUAGGAAGUUCUUUAUUAUUCUUGCUCUGUUGAGUGUUUUUAUCAUGAAGGGUAUUGGAUCUUGUCAGAUGCUUUUCCAUUAUGUAUUGAAUUGAUCAUAUGGUAUUUAUCUUUUAUGCUAUUCAUAUGAUGUAUAAUAGUAACUGAUUUUUGGAUGUCAAAAGUCUUUUAUUUCUGGGAUAAAUUUUACUUGGCUAUGGAAUAUAAUCCUUAUGUGUUUCUGGAUUUGGUUGCUUGCAUUUUGUCGAGGAUUUUGUAUUUGUAUUCAUAAUAUAUCUUGGUUAGUUUUCUUUUCUUGAGCUAUCUUUGCCUGGUUUUGGUAUCUGAACAAUACUGGCCUCAUAGAAUGAGAUGGGAAGUGUCUAGG